UUGGACCGAUUCAAGUAUGAAGUAACCGAUAUCGGGG
rnacentral:rRNA from 1 species